CGAGCCUUGAUUUAAGUCCUAUUGUCAUAUAAAGACAAGUUAAAGGGAAAGGAAAGCUCUGGGAAGUGGAAAGGCUGAUCACCUCACGCCAAAUUACCAAAAAAAAGAACCUUUACCACAUUACCUGCUGUCCUUGUGUCAGAUAUAGAUUUAAUAAAUAUCUUACCAGCCUAUAAAAGGGCUGAAUAUUAUUUACAAAGAAUAUUAUACAAAGUGUACAAUAAAUUUGUUAAAUAUAGCAGAAAUUACAAGAAGAAGUUAUGCUAGAUUCAGAAAUAGAUGGAGAGCGUUACUAGAUUCAGCAGAACUUGACACGAGAAUGCCGGAUGGUGUAGAUGGAUUAGAUGGUGCACAUUUAGCUGUUGUAGUGAUGCUUGUAAAAGUCUUGGCGUAAAUGCUAAAUUUUAUCGUGACUCAAGACGUUUUCUGUCUCUAUGAGAAAAGCAUCCCCAGGAACAUUUCCGUUGAACAGGUCAAUGAACCUAAUCUUACAAGUAGUUUCGCACUUAACAUCGGAAGUCCGAUAUUAAUCUUGGGCCAGAACACAACUUUGUUUGCGUUUUGCAAUUGAUCCCUAACGUAGAUUUAGCUUAGAGUUUUGUGAUUCUGUCAGAAAAACCAUAGAUGGCUUAGAGUCUGACAUUUUACCUUUGAUCUCCUAUGACAUCUUGUUUUCAUAGGACUUGAUUGAAGCAAAACAAAAAGUGACUCGCGCGAAAACAACUUGACAAACUUGUUGCUAUGAUUGCUAUGGUAUUGGAGGUUCCUCAUUACUAGGCUCUCUCGGCAUAGAAUGACAACAUAAAGCGAACACGCCUAGAACAUUUUCAGCAAAUAUGGCGGCGAUCAGCACUCGAGGAGUCGAACAAAACACCGUUUUCUCGUGUACUCUCGCGGUAUUAGAGAAGUAUUCGAUACAAGGACACACGUGCGACAUUCGCGACGCAAUCAUUGAUAAAAUCGCUCUGAUUUUAGUGGCAAAACCGAAGCUAAAACUUUGAAAUAACGUUUAAAAAAGGAUAUGUCACUGUUUCAUUGUUCGGGAUUCGAAAUCAAGGCCGUGCAAUUGUUGCUUCACAAUCAAUGAUGCGGAAACCGAGGCCGCAAUGCUAGAACUUCUGCAAAUUAAAAUUAACUAUGUUAGCCGGACAAACAUUCUAUACUUGCUCAGUAAUCCAACCAAAGGCCGUGCAAUGUGUGAAUUUUAUUAUUUCUAUAAAUAUCAAGGUUUGUAAUUCUGGAGUCGAAUACUUUACAUUGAUUUCUAUCCUGCGAAAAACGCUGGUUUUUCAAAGUCUCGCGCGCUACUGCGCAUGUCAGUUCGGUAUUUCUGGCCAUGUACUGGGAGCUUCGCAGGACAUUUGUGACAUUACGUAGGUAACAGCUAUUUUGGUAUUUGACAUCUAUGGCAACAGCGUCUCCAGUGUCGAUUGAUAUAGCGAGCUUUGUUUGCAAUUUCACAUCUCCAAGAAUCUCUACAGCAGACCGGAUAGACAACCCUGCUGCCUGUGUGCUUACAGCAUGUAGCGAAAAUUUGUAUUUGGCAGGCUGAUCACAGAAGAAGCAAAGUGCCUUAUCGUAGGGGGUCGUCUGUGACCUUGUUAUUUUCUUGCUCUCAUCCUUUUUCCACUUAGAAUUUGGUCCAUCCUCAAAUUUCAUAUGGGCUCUUUUCAGUUUAAACUUAAAUAAAUACUCCCUAUACACAUGUAUAUAUAGCUUACGCUAGUAAUGGGAGGGUUGGUCAGCUUUAAAGCCGGCGUAGGUGCGAAGGCACCUUUAGCUGCCUGAUGGCCGGCAGAGCGGCUGUUUUAAAUGCCUCUAGGGUUACUUGAUUGACAACGUUACUGGGAAGUAAGUUCCAGAUUCUUAUAGCUCUUGGAAAAAAGGAAUAAUUAUAGGAUAGAAUAUUAGACUGUAGUUGCAAAAAACUAUGGUUAUGCCUCCUAGUGACUCUAUAUGACGGUUGAGAAACAGAAGUAGGGAGAGGGCAGGCCACAAGGUUGUUAUAGAAUUUAAACAUUAGAACUGACUGGUGGAAUAGUCUUCUAGUUUCAAGCGUAUCCCAUUUUAGUUGGUUCACAAGUUGGUUUUCCAGCGUUAGUGGCAUUCUGAUAGCAUGAUCUAUGCCAAGUUGCAUGUUGGCUGCAAAGUGCAGCCAAUUCUUCCACGGAGUAGGGUUUGAGCAUUUCCCAAUUACCUUUAUAAAAAGGAUCUGCAUAUUUUCUUCUCUCUUCUAUGAAUUGAAGCAACGUUUAAUGGGACGACGGAUUUUGUACCAAGGGCUCUUUUGUUUUCUCGUGACACAAUAUACGGAAUCAAAAUCUGGUUUGUCGUAUGACGUGGCCGGAAAGGCCACCUAGGCUGUACUUACAGAACUUAUAGAGAAAAUGGUUCAAGAACUAAUAAAUUAAAUAGCCUUGCGACAAAAAUAAUGCUAUUACCUUCUGAAUAUAUGAUACUCAUUUGCUGCAAGUUUCGUGAGAUUUCGUUAACAAAUAAUAUAGAUAUUAAGGAUUUUAUAAAUAUGCCUCGUUUUCAUUUCAAGGGUCACGUGACAGACUAAAAACAAGGGUAUGUCCUCUGAAUAAUGUGAUGAUAAUCCGCUGCAAGUUUCGUGAUAUUUCGUUGUAAAAUAGCAAAGAUAUUAAUUUUAAACGCGGAUGACUCGCGUGAUAUUUAUUCAUUGAAAGUUGUUAUAACAUAAUUAAUAAAUACAGCUUCAAUUCACUUUACAAACGUUGCUAAAUAUACACGUGUUUAAGGUUCUUUUUGUAAACGAAACAACUGUUUCAAAAUAUAGAAAGUUUAAUGGGAUGUCACUUGUAGGAAUUAAAAUUUAUUGUGCAAUUGGAAAAGUGACAAUUUGGCAUGACAGCCUUUGCAGAAGUAUUUGCAGAGUAUAAGGCAGAUUUAACAGCCGGACUGGAAGCAAGAAUUUAAUUGUGUACUCUAGAUUUGAUUGAUCAUAAAAUCACCUUCCCACUUAAGGUAAUUCCCUUGAAAUAGUUCUACUAUCCAGAAAUUUUUAAAACUUGGCAUAAACAAUAUUGUUAAGGGCUUUCAAAACGUGUAAUAAAAUAAUGGGGUUACCAACCUUGUUUUCACAACAGAGGGGCGUAGAGUUGACGCGUUUUACUGAUCACGCAAGGAAAAAUCCCAACUCUUAGUUUUCAAAAAGAGUGCCUAUAGUCUUUAGAAAAUUAAGUUGUUUGUUAAGCUGCCAAAAUCCGAUCUCCUAGACAAUAACUCGUGGUAGCUCACGUUCAAAACAAAUUACAUUUUAGGAGAUCACACUAAACAACAGUUUCGCCACUAUAUGGUAAAAGCGCCAUUUUAAAGUAUUUCUAUGGCUUUUAAGAUAAAAUAAACAAAAUAAACUUCUUCUAUCCAACUUUUUUUCUUCUUUCAAUAUAUUAUUUUUCCGUAUAUAUUUAACUAUUUGAGCAAAUAAAAAUGGGGGUAACCGACAUCGUUUUUCUGUCAAAGAAAUUUUAAGUAAUAAAACGCGCACCUUUUGAUUUCUUUCUUAUACAAAUGUGUCACGCGCGCAGCGCGCGCCACUAUGAGUUGAAGGGGUGCAUAGUGCAAUUCAAGGGAAUUACCUUAAACAAGUGGUUCUAUUACAACUCUUCCAUACUUUUGUAGAUAAAACAUCCAUAAUGAUGUAUUUAUAUGGUUUGAAGCAUCAUUGUCAUUGUGGAUGAUUCUGUUCUGUUAGGGUCAAUAUUCUCAUAUCGAAUUAUUUCAUUAAUUGUUAGCUGUUAGUGAUUGCAAUUUUAAUUUAUUAAAUGUGUGAUUACGUUAAUAUUGAUCGUGAUAUUUGAAUAGACUUGUAAUUAGUAUGAUACAGUAAGUAUGAUGAUUAUACCCUCACAGGCUUGGGGCACUCCCUAGAAAAUUCACAUAUCCUCAGCCUAUCCCUAUCCUAUGCAUCCCUUUGGGGUCUCUCAGAGUAUGUAUGUCUCUUGCAGACCUUCCCAAAGAAUACAGAUCAAAUUUUCUGUGUUUUAUGAUUUCCGGUUAAAGAUCUUGUUGUCCAUACAACUGUGGUGGCAUGUUAAUCUCUUAGGAUUGACCUUGCCUUCAUUCACAACCAUUUUGAUGAUUCUUAAUGGGCAUAUGUGACCUUUUUGUUAGAGGAAGUCUCCCCCAGGCAUAAUAGAAGUAAUAAUAUGUGGUACUGUAGAUGCAAGAAAGACUAGAGCAUGUAACUUCUCAGAGUUCUAGAGCAUCAAACUUCUUUAUUUGAAUAAAUUUGGGUGUGUAUUAUUAUCUUUUAAAAUAUACAGAAAUGAUCACAUUAGCUCUUGUCCUAGAAUAUUGUAAUACUUUUCCCUACAGGAAUGUGAUCCAUUUGGUAAAAGAGAAAAUUUGAACACAUACAAUCUCAAAAAUACCCUACGAUGGAAGUUAAGGGGUAAAAGUUAUGCAAACACAGAUCAACCAAUCUGUUAAAAUUUCAUCGUCACAACUUGUACAUUUCUGUCCCAUAAUCACUAAAAAACGUCUUUUAGUAUUCUACAAUCAAGCCAUAGCUUUAAACAUCCACAGUAGAUGAUCGGUUGAUGGACAGCCAUCAUGGUGCUCCUUUGUUUCUGCACGAGCAUUCUGUGUAUAUAGUUCAAACGAGUGUGAUUUCCUGUGUGAAAAAUGAAAACAAGCUAUCAAAGAGCAGUAAAUAUCAUAUACCUUCAAUUCAAAAAUGGUUGCUUGGAGUUUGGUCAUUGGUAUUUUAUUCCUAGCAUUGCGUUCUGGGUAAACCAUUGCCAGCAGUUCCAGGCAGUUCAGAAAUAAUUGUUGCCAGAAAAUCGCUGUCUAUGAUUACUAAACAUUCUAAGUCAAUUUCAAGACUAACAAGGCCAACUCUAACCACUUAGAAAUUUUCCAUGUGACCCUGUUCUCCCAAAUGAAAAUAUAAAAAAGCACAGAUUUGAAUAAGGCAACUAAGCAGAUCGCAAAUGGUUGCGACCGGGUGAUUGCAAAGGGUGAACUAGGGCACAUACAUAAAAAAACUGAAAAUGAGUGCCUAACUCAUUUCCAUAAGAUGCUUGAGAUUACAAGUACAUGGACCUUUUAAGAGUUCCAAAACCACCCCUUUUGCAGGAUCUGCUGCUUCUGAUCAAAUAAAUUAAAGACUUCCACCUACCAUCUCCCAGCUCUUCUGAUCGUACUGUCAUCAGCAACACAACGUGCAGCCCACCGAGCAGCGGAUCGUCUAAUACUGUGGGUGCUGUAACCCUUGUCAAAAAGGGCUUUGGUCAUCUGUGAAAUAAAGGAUAAACAAUGAGAAGGCCUGUUGUAUAAAGCCUCUAUUUCACUCCCUACACUAACUCACUAAACCUACAGAACAGGCACCUGCUCUCAGUUAAAGAUCUCCUGGGGAAUUCGGGGCCACAGUCUUGAUGACCUCUGCGAUUAUUUGGCUUGUUUUGCUGGCGUAGUACUUUUGUGUUUUAGCAGAUGCAUUCUCCCACUGGAUUUUCAUCACAGAUUCUAGAGGCCCUAGACAGCUUUCCUCCAUAAACGACUGUAAUGCCGCUAUCAUUCCAGAGGAUGAAGACUGGGGAGAGGCAAUUCGGAAGACAGAUUUAGCAAGUGCGACACUUGCAGCAAGAUUAAAGACUCCCUGUGAAGUACAACAGAUCCCCGAGAGAGGGCAGCACUCAUUGAAAGGCGAAGAGCAAAUCAUGAAUUUGUGAGAAGCAAUUGCUUGUUAUGGGCGGUAACUUGCAUGUUACUCAUGCUUUCUUCCUUGUUAGCGAUUGCUCUUCACGCCAAAUCUUUAUGCUCACAUCAUUUAAAAGGGAGAGACGAACUUACAGGGAGAGAUGUAUACUAGGGCACAGGUAUCCCAACAACUACUUCAUCAUGGCCAUUGAUUGGGUGGACCAAAUUAAACGGAACUACCUUUCUCGACUUUCCGCUACAGUACCCUGGAUACUGCAUACAAGCUGAAGUACAUAUUGUAGGGGCACUCAUUCAUGGACGACAUCCCCUUUGUUUUGUGGAUCUUCAGCAGCUCGAGCAUGUUUCCGAUCUAACUGCGAACAUCGUGUUACAGGCGUCUCAGGGCGUAAUAGUAAUGAAAGACAUAAUACCCAAGGAGUCCAGUCUUCCGCCUUGUCGCUGAGGUCCCGAAAGUCUGUGAUUUCCAACGAGCGAGCGGCUAAGUACAAUGACUAUGUAGUGACUCCCUUUCUGACAAAAAGGAAAUACCAAAAGAUGGUAACAUGUUAAACAUUUGAGAAGCAUUAUACGAGAAAGUACCAGGUGUGUGGGCCGUGCUAAGUUUGAAUUCACUGCUGGACCUUAAAGUUCUGCCAGGUUGAUCAGUGAUUGGAGCCUGUGGUCCGAAUCUGCCACACAAUCUGCAGCAAGGUCCCCCAGAAGAUACACAAUCACAGCAGAAUUUGCGACAAGGAUCAAUCUCGCCCCUGUUGUUUCUCAGCCCCUGAUAGCCACACUAACAAUGGAUGGUACAGAAACCUUAAUACGCUACUAAGCACACCCGUGCGAAGGAGUAAUUUUUUUUGUAAAAUGAUAUGGCACAAGAAUUAUUGCUCAAGUACUUCCUAACGCAAACUUAUUUUGAAAUGCCACAAGAUCAGUUUGUAGAAAAUAGUCAACCCCCUAAAUCAUGUUGGAAUGUUGAUAUAUAUGUUGGAAAGUAGAUAUACUGAUAGUACAGCAACACUGUACUAUCAGGAUGUCCGCUAUAUCUCCAAAUUUUAAUAUUGUGCAAAUACAAUAAAAGAAAGGUAUAGCAAAGACAAAUAAUCAAUAUCCAUAAAAGCUGUGGUCAAAACUUUUGAUCAAGGGAAUUCCUGGGGCAAGAUGAGUUACCUGUUGUGCUGUCGAGUUGCCUGCUAUAUGUUUUUAAUAAAGAUAGACACGUACAAAUGCCAAAAAGUGAACAUUUGACAACGAUGAAUACGAUAUUCCCAGUGUAGAACGAGGUACCUGCUUUACUGUAGAGGUGCCUGCUAUAUGUUUGUGUUAAAGUAAAUCACGAACAAAUGACAAAAAGUAAAGCUUUAAUAACGACAUACGAUAUUCCCAGUGCAUAACGAGUUACCUGCUUUACUGUCUAGUUGCCUGCGAUAUGUUUUUAAUAAAGAUAAACACGUACGAAUGCCAAAAAACUGAACAGUUGACAACGACGAAUACGAUAUUCCUAGUGCAUAACGAGUUACCUGCUGUAUGGUCGAGUUGCCUGCUACAUGUUUUUAUUCGAGUAAAUCUCUUACAAAUGCCAAAAAAGUGAAGCUUUAAUAACGACGAAUACGAUAUUCCCGGUGCAUAACGAGUUACCUGCUGUACUGUCGAAUUGCGUGCUAUAUGUUUUUAUUAAAGUAAAUCACGUACAAAUUCAAAAAAGUGAAGCUUUAAUAACGACAUACAUAAUCCCAUGUGCUAUUCGUCAUAUUUCGAAAGUUUCGUACUGUUUUCUCACUCAGAACUCAAGAUAUCGACUUUUUUCUCACGGUCACGUGAUUGAUGACGUCAUAUAUUAAAAGUUCAUUUUUUUAAAAUCCCAUGUGAUAUUUGUCAUAUUUCGAAAGUUCGAGCUGUUAGGUAACGCUCUCUCUUCCGGGUCGCAACAGGCUUACGCUAGAGCAUGGAACACGUUUCGACAGUUUUAAACAAUUACCUUGAUCGAUUUUUUAAUUAUUCAAUAAUAAAAUGUCACUCAAACGUGGCUGGAAAAAUCCAUAUCAAUGUGUCAAUUACAUCACUUCAGCAAACAAGCACGGCGCUCGAUGUUGCUCGCAUAAAGCCAAUUUUUAUGUUAUAUUAAGAUAAAAAUUUGCUCGGGAUAAAAAUAAACAUUGUCCCACGGGAUAAUGGAAUUUAUCUCGAGUAGGGUUUAAUUAUAGUUUCACUAGAUAAGGUUGACAGGCUGAUGGCGACAGCGGGGAAUAUCCGUAUAUCAUUUUCACAUGAUGCACGUGGUUUGGCCACUAUAAGAACCCUUGUGAACCCGGGGUGCGGCCUUCUCCUCAGAGAGUAGCCGUCCCAAAAGAAAUUUCCCUCCGCCUCCCCAUCAGCCUGCCUUCGUGUCUGGUUAUUUUUCACUAUUGUAAGUCAUUUUUGCAAAGGUGGGUGGCGGUUUCUCGUCCCCACCUUUGCCGAUGUGACGGAAUUAAUGUGUAAUACAAUUACCUUGAUCGAUUUUUCAAUUAUUCAAUAAUAAAAUGUCACUCAAACGUGGACGGAAAAAUCCAUACCAAUGUGUCAAUUACAUCACUUCAGCAAACAAGCACGGCGCUCGAUGUUGCUCGCAUAAAGCCAAUUUUUAUGUUAUAUUAAGAUAAAAACUUGCUCGGGAUAAAGAAUAUUAUGGUUUACAGUAUCCAAAGCUUUAGAUAGGUUUAGAAAAAUGCCUACUGUGUACUCAUUUCUUUCGAUUGCUUUAACUAUAUUGUCUACUAAUUCUACAAUUGCAUGCUAAGUUGAUCUAUUCUUUCUAAACCCAUAUUGUUGGUUACAUAAGAUUUGAUUAAGUUCAAGGUAACCCUUUAGUCUAUUGUACAUAACUCUUUCAAGAACUUUAGAGAAGUAUGGCAAAACAGAAAUUGGUCUGUGGUUACAAAAUUCUGUUUUAUCAGAAGAUUUAAAAACGGGUGAUUCCAGUGAAACUUUAAGUUCAGCAGGGAUCUCACCAGUAGAAAAGGUCAUAUUAAUUAUAUGUGUCAGAGGUGCACAAACAUAGUCCGAUAUGUGUUUUAUAAUUUUACUAUUUAUCCCAUCAGCUCCACUACUGCUAAGACUUUUUGUGCUAUGAAUAAUUUGUUUCCAGUGCGGAACAUUACCAUUUUUGGUUAUAUUUGAUAAACAAUCUCAUUAACCAAUCAGAGAUAAGUAUUACUAUACCCAGUCUCACGCGGACACGCCUCAACUCAGAGUGGGAAAACAAAAUGGCGGUUCCGUUGAAUCGGGAAAAUCAUGUUGAACGCCGCUUUUUAACUCUCUGCUAGCAGUGAUUUCUUCUUAUCUGUUUAAGCAGGGAUUUCACCGACUCAUUGCGUCAUAUAUACCCUAUUUGUGUUGUUUCUCAUCGGCAACAGACCUCAUUUGCAGGGUUAUUUUUACGACUUCACCGAAUCGUACUGUAAUAAACGCGGAAGGGUAAGCCACUGCUAGCAGGCUAUAACAUUGAUCACCAAUUAUCUAGUUGUACGUUUCAUCAAGUCAUACAAAUGCCCAAAAUUUCCCUGGAUUUAUCUUGCUUUCGCACUCGGAAUGAAGACACUCCAAGAAAAAUUUUAGCUGGGAUAUUGAAACUAAAAUAAAUCUUAUACAGAAUGGCAGCGAGUCUCAUUAAAAAAAAUGAAGCUAAAUCGUAUACAGAUUGGCCGCGAGUCACUGUUUAUUGUAUGCAAUUUAAAGACACUACAUGAAAGUACUGUUUAAAUGUUUAUAUUUGAUCCUGGAAUAAAUAGAUUUGCUAUGAUCAGUAAAUCUCA